rnacentral:rRNA from 1 species
GACGUAGGGAGCAAGCGUUGUCCGGAAUUACUGGGCGUAAAGAGCUCGUAGGCGGGAGUGUGCGUCUGAAAGGAAAUCUCAGGGCUCAACUCUGGGGCUUUUUCAGAUACGGCGCUUCUUGAGUGUAACAGAGGAAAGCAGAAUUCCCGGUGUAGCGGUGAAAUGCGUAGAUAUCAGGAGGAACACCGGUGGCGAAGGCGGAUCUCUGGGCCGAUACUGACGCUGAGGAGCGAAAGCGUGGGGAGCGAACAGG